CAGUCGCCACGGUAAUACGUAGGUGGCAAGCGUUGUCCAGAAUUAUUGGGCGUAAAGGGCUCGCAGGCGGUUUCUUAAGUCUGAUGUGAAAGCCCCCGGCUCAACCGGGGAGGGUCAUUGGAAACUGGGAAACUUGAGUGCAGAAGAGGAGAGUGGAAUUCCACGUGUAGCGGUGAAAUGCGUAGAGAUGUGGAGGAACACCAGUGGCGAAGGCGACUCUCUGGUCUGUAACUGACGCUGAGGAGCGAAAGCGUGGGGAGCGAACAGGAUUAGAUACCCCCGUAGUCCCUGUCUCUUAUAC
rnacentral:rRNA from 1 species